UCUAUAACUUGAAUAUAUUGAUCACCAGGUACACUUGAUAGACGUAAAAAUAAUCUAUAUAUCUAUAUAAAAGCAGGUCAAAAGCCCGCUGACAUGACAUUACAGAAAUUCAGGAUUUGUAUUUAUCCCUUUUUACAAAAUUUUGGGGGGAAAAAAACGAAAAAACACCUUAAAAACUAAACACCGGCAAGAACACACACCUCUUCGCUCUUUAUACCCCCCCCCCCCCCCCCCCCCAACAACUGCGGCCCAGGGUAACGGAUUCUCUUUCACUUACAACCGCUUAUGGCGUCUAUUGUCGGAAGCAAAGAGCCUCCAUCUCUUUCCCUUUUUCUCCGUCUGUUUGAUUCUUAUUUCCCUCAAGGCCGCUUGCAAUUUUGCUUAUCCUUGCCCAAUUUAUGCAAGGAGUUACAAGUAAAAUAUCCUUCCCUGUUUAUGUAGUUUAAUUUCAUAUGUGGCUUUUGUGUGUGUUAUUUUAAUUUUCUCUUACUUAGGAGAUCCAAAAGUAUUUCCUUUGAGUCACAUGUUCUCCAUGUUUGAAAUUCUUUAGACCAGAUCAUGAUAAUUGUGCAAACUAGGAGACGGAUACAGGCUUAGUAUUAUUUUUCUUUGCUCUUUCAUCUAAUAGUUUAUAUUUCUUGUCCUCUUUCAUCUGAUAGGUAUCCCUGUGAAAUAUCUUUUUCUAGGCGUCAAGCAGUUCAGAUCUUUUAAAGCACAUGAUUGACAUAUGGAAUUUCAUUUAUAUGUGAUGAAGAAUGUAGUGGUUCUUCUAAUAUCAACCAUCCGACGCUGGGUGUCCGAGUCUCUUUGAGCCCCGACUAAUCCCGGGGGUGCACAGGCCCUCGGCAAGGAGUUUCCCGCAAGUGCACCACGGGUAAUUCAGGGUUUUCCCAGUCCGAUGACCCUCAGAAAUUGUUUGCACCCAGCGGGUUUCGAACUUGAAACCUUGAAAGGGAGCACCCCAAGGCUCAAGUCAAUUGUCACCAGGCCAACCCCUGAGGGUUGUUACUCAACAACAAGAUCAUGGAAGUGAAAAGGAAAGAAGAGGUUUCAGACUUUUAGCAAGAGCUGAUAUUGUUAUAGAGGAAAGGAAUUAGCCAUCAUUCUUCUUCAUCAUUCAUUAUGACAAUUGCAAAUAAAAUCCAUCUACAAAAGUUGCAUUUAAGGAAGAAAUGACGAAGAUGAAAAGUAUCAUAACUUUCAAAGACCCAUAUCGUCUAUAUUCCAACCGAUCUCUCACCAUUUCAGCACCCGAUAUGUAUAUGGAGCCGUUCUGCAGUGUAUGGGAAGUGUUGGAAAUCUUUCCUGAACUUGAAACAGUGUGACCACGAACCACUAUUGAUAUUCUGGCACAUGCUUUGCACACAGAAUUUCAGAAGGCCAAUUUUUUUUUUUUUUUUUUUUUUAAAAACAUUGCUAAAACAUCUCUAAAGGUAGAAGUAGAAGAUGGGGAAGAGUUACUUUAAAGAUUGUUAUCUUUUAAAGAUAAGUGUCGGGGAGCCCGACACUUCAUUAGUCUCAGGUGUUGUACAGAGAGGUUAUAAGUAUAUCAUAAUACUUAAUUUGAUAAAUUCUAUUUAAAUCUUUUUCAUGUCCUUUUGUAUGAUAACAUCUUUGUGUCGUUGGAUUUAACAACAAAACUCCUAUCCAGUGACUUGUGCUUGAAUAACCAAAUAGCUACAUUUGUGUUUUUGGUUCAUUGGUUCUGCAUUUUUCUGCAAUGACAUGACAUCUAUAGAUAGCAUUUUCACUCAAUUAAAAUAUAUUAAGAGAAUACUUCUAUAUUGCUAAUCAACAAAACUCAAACUAAUUUAUAGCUGUAUCUUGGAAGUAUGUGGCUUGCUUAAAAGUAUGUGGUUUGCUUAACAGUUUAUAUAUAUGAACUUUUGCUUAAGCCUGAAUUAUAAGGAAAUAAUAAACAUACAGCAGCACAUUCAAUGUUACUGAUUUUAUUAUAAUGUAGCCAAUGAAUCUUAAGGAAAUAUAACAAAUAAAAUUACAUAUAGCAAUCAAUCUGGUCAGCCUGGGAUCUGUUGCCAUUUGAGACCAUUUAUAUAUAUUGUUUUGGGUAUCUUUCUUCUUUUACAGUGUCAAGCUGGAGUAGAGAUAUCAACACGGACGGACAGUAAGGCUAGCAACGAAUACCAACUCUUUGGAGCUUGUCUUAAGUGCUGGAUUGGAGAUUGAUGCAUUUAGUAAUUGUAUUUUGCAGGUUAAAAUGACCAUAACAUAAUGUAAGGCGUUGGGUGCUUUGUUUCUAUUAGUAGUAUACAUUUCCUUAGAAGGAAAUUUCCACUUCGUUAAAGCUAUACUCUGGAAUUAUAUUGCUUAGUCAUCUUUGAAGACCAAAACAAUUCAAUGACUCGCCAUGAUUUUAGUGAAUUAUCUGGAAUAUUUGAUUUUAGUCAAUCAUCUUUGCUUCUGUUUCACGUUCAUACGAAGCCAGCAACUUGAACUUAACAAUCUACGAUAUAUCAUGCACAACUAACUGUGACAAAUGUGCUGCUAAAAGAAUGUUAAGUCAAAAAGUAUCAUCUACUCCACUUCGUUAAAGCUAUACUCUGGAAUUAUAUUGCUUAGUCAUCUUUGAAGACCAAAACAAUUCAAUGACUCGCCAUGAUUUUAGUGAAUUAUCUGGAAUAUUUGAUUUUAGUCAAUCAUCUUUGCUUCUGUUUCACGUUCAAUGUAGCUUAAUUACAGAAGAAAGUAGCAUGUCAUGUGCUCUAUCACCUUCCAUACAACUAUGUUGAGUAGAUGAUACUUUUUGACUUAACAUUCUUUUAGCAGCACAUUUGUCACAGUUACUUAGUUGUGCAUGAUAUAUCGUAGAUUGUUAAGUUCAAGUUGCUGGCUUCGUAUGAUAUCGCGAGUAAAAGAACUUAUAUCUUGUAGUUUACCAUUUUUGCAUUCAUUUGGCUGUCUCAUGAAGAUAUACUCAGCAUUCAAUGUUGUUUUCCAAACGUCAAUCUUUAGACACUUUCCUAUUGGAGGCUUGGAGCUCUAGACAAGGAAUUUUUAAUGAUAAGAAAAGCAAGAUUGUAAAAAUCAUAGAUCCUCACAGAAGACAUGUUAGAAAAUACUCUGGAGUUAAAAAAAAAAUGUUACAAAAUACUAACCAUAAAGAACAAAUACCUGAAUUUGAAGACCAAUAUAAUAGCUGCUUGGCAGGUCAUUUACCCUUUGGCAUAGGCUUUUUGUAAAAUGUUUUAUGCAUUGGAGCUUAUAAUUCCUUAGGCCUACUGAUAUUUCUAUGCAGAUUUGUUAGUUUUAGAGUAGGAAAAGGAAACAUGAGUUUGAUACAUGAGGACUAAUUUGAGUUGAUGGUAAUUUAAUUUAUCAAGUUUAUGACAAAAUUAUGUAUUUGUUAGUUCAAUGGAAUUGUGGUUGACUUGCUUGGCUAUCUAGCAGAUAUUGUUUUUUCCUGUGUGGCGAAUUCGAGAAUUGCACGGAGAAAAAAACCCAAAAAAUAGCUUUGAAACAGAAACAGAAGCAAAGCGUGAGGAGGAGAAAAUUGAAAUGAUUGCUUUAGAAGAGGAAGAGAAUGUUGGAUUGCAACUUCAAGAUUGAUCAUUGCAGGGCAAUGUCUUACCCAAUUUACAUAGAACCUGAAUGUCAUUUCUCACAUAACAUGCUACUUUCUUCUGUAAUUAAGCUACAUUGAACGAAUUUAAUGAAUGCUCUAGCUUAUUUGCAAAGUGAACGCCUUUUUGAAAAA